rnacentral:rRNA from 1 species
AUUCCAGCUCCAAUAGCGUAUAUUAAAGUUGUUGCAGUUAAAAAGCUCGUAGUUGGAUUUCUGAAUGGAAUAUUCGGUCCGCUUUUCUUGUAAAAGUGUGUACUUGUGAAUAUUGUGUUCAUUUUUUGUGAGAACCUUUUUCUGUCAUUAAGUUGAUGGAUUUAGUUACUUGCAUAGUUUACUGUGAAAAAAUUAGAGUGUUUAAAGCAGGCGUUUGUCCUUUGAAUACAUUAGCAUGGAAUAAUAAGAUAUGACUUUGGUGGUCUAUUUUGUUGGUUUGCACACCAGAGUAAUGAUUAAUAGGGACAGUUGGGGGUAUUCAUAUUUCAACGUCAGAGGUGAAAUUCUUAGAUCGUUGAAAGAUGAGCUUAGGCGAAAGCAUUUACCAUGGAUGUUUUCAUCA